UUUGAUUAUCACUUCUAUUUAUAUAUUCUAUUGUUCUUUGAUUCCAAAUCUUUGCUCCGAGCUAACCUUUUCUCAAAUGUCAAGCUUGUGACUGGGGCAUUCCCAUCAUCUAGCCAUCAUCUAAGCAGCAUCCUUGGCAAACCAAUUAGCUACAAAAAUACACUCUUGGAUGGUUGGUGUAGUCUUGUAUUUGGAUCCCAUAUUAUAUCAAUGUCAUUUACAGCAUGCCUAACUCCUUUAGAAGCUCAAAAUAUAUUCCAAUACUUGAAAUUUUAAUUCCUUGAAGAUGGAGUGCAGAGCAUGCUGAACAAGGUUUAUUUCCAUUUCAAAAUAAGGUCCAUGUAGUAUCAUAGAUUAAGCAUGAAAAGUCCAGAUUUUGUAGUUAGCAUAUGUGUUCUUGCACAAAAAUGAAAUGAAAUUCUAAUUUGAACUUAUGUAACUAAGUUGUUGUAAGAUUAGGUUCUGAAUAGAAGUAACAAUUAAAGAGACUAUUCCUCAUUGACUAAGUGAACCAAGG
rnacentral:lncRNA from 1 species